rnacentral:rRNA from 1 species
AUGAACGCUGGCGGCGUGCCUAAUCCCUGCAAGUCGAGCGAACAGACGAGGAGCUUGCUCCUCUGACGUUAGCGGCGGACGGGUGAGUAACACGUGGAUAACCUACCUAUAAGACUGGGAUAACUUCGGGAAACCGGAGCUAAUACCGGAUAAUAUAUUUAACCGCAUGGUUCAAUAGUGAAAGACGGUUUUGCUGUCACUUAUAGAUGGAUCCGCGCCGCAUUAGCUAGUUGGUAAGGUAACGGCUUACCAAGGCAACGAUGCGUAGCCGACCUGAGAGGGUGAUCGGCCACACUGGAACUGAGACACGGUCCAGACUCCUACGGGAGGCAGCAGUAGGGAAUCUUCCGCAAUGGGCGAAAGCCUGACGGAGCAACGCCGCGUGAGUGAUGAAGGUCUUCGGAUCGUAAAACUCUGUUAUUAGGGAAGAACAAAUGUGUAAGUAACUAUGCACGUCUUGACGGUACCUAAUCAGAAAGCCACGGCUAACUACGUG